rnacentral:misc_RNA from 1 species
ACGCUAGCAGAGCGCCAAUUGCACGCGAGUAGAACGCGAUUGAAACGCUAUUGAAACGCUAUUGGUGCACUAUUGUUUGACUUUCGCAUCAUAUAAACGCAUCAUAUAAUUGUAAUUGUAGUCUUUUAAUACGUACUAUGCUAUAUAAAGAAAUAUUAUACGGAAAGAAUAUAGCAGCGAUGAAAGUAAAUGACCUAAGUGAAAACUUUUUAGAAGUUAUCUGCAAUUCAGGAUGAAAAUAGUUAUAUUAGUUAGUUGCUGUGCGACUCUGUUAUGUUCUAACUCAACGAUGACAACAUUUUGAUUUGUAUUUGACAAUUCCGAUGAAUUCAAUCGUUCUCUUCAUCCAGUUAUUAUACCAGACAAUAGUCAGUUCAUCAUCCUCUUCUCUUUGGAAAUUUGUUACAAUUCAUAUAUAAAAUUAUUUCCUAAAUAAUUUACUUCGCUCUACAAUCUCAAUUCCCAUGGAAGACUAUUACUCAGUAAAGAAGAAGACUCCGUUACAGCAUGGAUUCAAGUCAUAAGGGUUUCAUUUUCUUGGGGUGAACAACAUGAAGAUUUGUUUUAACAAUUUUCUCCUUCGAAGAGAUUUAUUGUGAAAUAUUAAAUGAAUAGAAUGCAGCUGCAGUGACAAGAAAUAAUCAAAACCAGAAUCUGUAAAAAGGUUUUCAAUCAUUUUACUGGAAGAGAGAGCGCAUUAUUUUCAACAACAAUAAGAAGAACCCGACAACACUGCAAUCAUGAAAAAUUUUAUAAGACACCGUCUUCUAUUUACUUAUACUAGGAGAAAAUCAUAUGCUAUAAUAUUCUAUCAAAAGAAUUAAAAGAGGAAUGCAUCCUAAUUAUUCUAAAUUUAAAAAAUAACAUAUACAAAUACAUUAUAUUAGAAAAUUUGUUAUAUGUACAAAAUGUAUCGCUAAGUUUUGUACUAGGUAUUAAAAGGCAUUAUUGUUUAUCGACUUACAAGAAAAUAUUGAAGACUUGUAUCAACUAAUUUCUCCUUCGUAAAGAUUCCAUUUGAAUUAUCAUGCGAAUAGAAUGCAGCUGCAGUGACAAGGAGAAUAAUCAAGACCAGAGUUUAUUAAAAGAGAACGAAUCCACGAGAAUUAUCGUGAACUACAACAAGAAUAUGAUGAACAAAAAGACACAUUGGAUGAAGUAAAAA